rnacentral:rRNA from 1 species
AGAGUUUGAUCCUGGCUCAGAUUGAACGCUGGCGGCAGGCCUAACACAUGCAAGUCGAGCGGUAGCACAGAGAGCUUGCUCUCGGGUGACGAGCGGCGGACGGGUGAGUAAUGUCUGGGAAACUGCCUGAUGGAGGGGGAUAACUACUGGAAACGGUAGCUAAUACCGCAUAACGUCGCAAGACCAAAGUGGGGGACCUUCGGGCCUCAUGCCAUCAGAUGUGCCCAGAUGGGAUUAGCUAGUAGGUGGGGUAAUGGCUCACCUAGGCGACGAUCCCUAGCUGGUCUGAGAGGAUGACCAGCCACACUGGAACUGAGACACGGUCCAGACUCCUACGGGAGGCAGCAGUGGGGAAUAUUGCACAAUGGGCGCAAGCCUGAUGCAGCCAUGCCGCGUGUAUGAAGAAGGCCUUCGGGUUGUAAAGUACUUUCAGCGAGGAGGAAGGCGUUAAGGUUAAUAACCUUGGCGAUUGACGUUACUCGCAGAAGAAGCACCGGCUAACUCCGUGCCAGCAGCCGCGGUAAUACGGAGGGUGCAAGCGUUAAUCGGAAUUACUGGGCGUAAAGCGCACGCAGGCGGUUUGUUAAGUCAGAUGUGAAAUCCCCGGGCUCAACCUGGGAACUGCAUUUGAAACUGGCAAGCUUGAGUCUUGUAGAGGGGGGUAGAAUUCCAGGUGUAGCGGUGAAAUGCGUAGAGAUCUGGAGGAAUACCGGUGGCGAAGGCGGCCCCCUGGACAAAGACUGACGCUCAGGUGCGAAAGCGUGGGGAGCAAACAGGGUUAGAUACCCUGGUAGUCCACGCUGUAAACGAUGUCGACUUGGAGGUUGUUCCCUUGAGGAGUGGCUUCCGGAGCUAACGCGUUAAGUCGACCGCCUGGGGAGUACGGCCGCAAGGUUAAAACUCAAAUGAAUUGACGGGGGCCCGCACAAGCGGUGGAGCAUGUGGUUUAAUUCGAUGCGACGCGAAGAACCUUACCUACUCUUGACAUCCAGAGAACUUAGCAGAGAUGCUUUGGUGCCUUCGGGAACUCUGAGACAGGUGCUGCAUGGCUGUCGUCAGCUCGUGUUGUGAAAUGUUGGGUUAAGUCCCGCAACGAGCGCAACCCUUAUCCUUUGUUGCCAGCGGUUCGGCCGGGAACUCAAAGGAGACUGCCAGUGAUAAACUGGAGGAAGGUGGGGAUGACGUCAAGUCAUCAUGGCCCUUACGAGUAGGGCUACACACGUGCUACAAUGGCAUAUACAAAGAGAAGCGACCUCGCGAGAGCAAGCGGACCUCAUAAAGUAUGUCGUAGUCCGGAUUGGAGUCUGCAACUCGACUCCAUGAAGUCGGAAUCGCUAGUAAUCGUAGAUCAGAAUGCUACGGUGAAUACGUUCCCGGGCCUUGUACACACCGCCCGUCACACCAUGGGAGUGGGUUGCAAAAGAAGUAGGUAGCUUAACCUUCGGGAGGGCGCUUACCACUUUGUGAUUCAUGACUGGGGUGAAGUCGUAACAAGGUAGCCGUA